UACAGGGGGCUCGAGCGUUAGUCGGAAUCACUGGGCUUAAAGGGUGCGUAGGCGGCUCGUCAAGUGCUUUGUGAAAUCCCACAGCUCAACUGUGGAACAGCAGGGCAAACUGACGAGCUUGAGGCAGGUAGGGGCCGGAAGAACAGUAGGUGGAGCGGUGAAAUGCGUAGAUAUCUACUGGAAUGCCGAUGGGGAAGCCGUCCGGCUGGGCCUGUCCUGACGCUGAGGCACGAAAGCGUGGGGAGCAAACGGG
rnacentral:rRNA from 1 species